UUUUCUUUCCCUUGCUGCCACAGCACCUUCGGAAGCAGAAACUGCAGGUCUUGAUGAAGAGGAGUACUAGGAGCAGAACGAUGGCGAGGAGGAAGGCCAGGACAUCCAGGCUGUGAUACUGGUACCAGCCAUCAAGAGGAUUUGCUGUCGAUGUGGAGCUACGUACUCUGUGAACCAAAUGGGCAAACAUCCUUUUGGAGGAGUGUAAUAACCACUAUGGGUGGAGUGGAGACCUGCUACAGUUGCUGUGACGGAGUGAUGGGAGCCCCUGGAUGUCAGGUGUUUCAGAUGCAUGUCCACGAUGCUCUCAGCCUGGAUGGGUUCGUGUCGGCCGUCCCCAGACAUCCCUCAGAUACGAGCUGUCCUGGGGUCUACUCCUUGGAUUGUGAAAUAGUGAUCAGCUUUUUUAAAAUCUUCCUCACAUUGAACACUAAACUCCAACUAAUUUGUGGAAGUUUCGUUAGAAUCCACAAUUAAAACUGGUAAUGUAUGAUCACAGAAAUUUUAAGUAGCACAAAAGUCACAUGGUUUUAAAGAUUAAUAGUAACUUAUUAGAAGAAAAAAAUCCCUUGUGUGUGAUUUUUUUUUUUUUUAAAAAAACUGUUCACAUAUA